UACGUCUUGAUCUGCAGGAGCAGAAGGG
rnacentral:piRNA from 1 species